rnacentral:rRNA from 1 species
GAUGAACGCUGGCGGCGUGCUUAACACAUGCAAGUCGAACGGUGAAGCUCCAGCUUGCUGGAGUGGAUCAGUGGCGAACGGGUGAGUAACACGUGAGCAACCUGCCCCUGACUCUGGGAUAACAGCCGGAAACGGCUGCUAAUACCGGAUAUGCACCAUGAACGCAUGUUCUGUGGUGGGAAAGAUUUUUCGGUUGGGGAUGGGCUCGCGGCCUAUCAGCUUGUUGGUGAGGUAAUGGCUCACCAAGGCGUCGACGGGUAGCCGGCAUGAGAGGGUGACCGGCCACACUGGGACUGAGACACGGCCCAGAAUCCUACGGGAGGCAGCAGUGGGGAAUAUUGCACAAUGGGCGAAAGCCUGAUGCAGCAACGCCGCGUGAGGGAUGACGGCCUUCGGGUUGUAAACCUCUUUUAGCAGGGAAGAAGCGAGAGUGACGGUACCUGCAGAAAAAGCGCCGGCUAACUACGUG